rnacentral:lncRNA from 1 species
GAAUGAAGGCACGCUUGAAUUGUGCUUGCUGAGCAGAUGAGACACUACAGACCUGGAUUGAUCUCGGUGCUGAUGAGCUGCAGCGAGAUGUUCUGGCCGAACAAGUCUGAAGCGACAUCCACCAGGUGAGCUCCUAUGUCCGUUAAGCUGAGGAAGUUCUUCCUGUGUACAACGAGCGUGCCAUCGAAACUUACUGUUUUUACCGUCGCCAUUGCAGAUGAUCCCUCGAGAGCUUGCACGAGGUCGCUUUUAAAGUUCUUACGGAGGCGGCAGAGAAGUCUCAAUGAAAGUCUCAACACGGUAAAGCAAUAGGACUCUUUCUGCGGUCCUUUAACUCAGUUUAGCGCUAUGGACCACAAG